rnacentral:lncRNA from 1 species
UAGAACGAAGUGUAGCCGCGGGUAAGAAGCUGGCACAGAUUGAAGAGGAGGAGAGUGCUCGCAUGGAUGCCUUCCGCGUUGCGGUGAGCGCCUUGACUUCCCUCUUCUCUCGUCUUUGCGCUGCCAAAAAAAAAAAGUGUCGAGAUUGGAGAGAUGCGUUUAGGAUUAAUACAUGUCGUUUGUGAUGGUUGCAUGGAAGCUGGGCUUGCCGACUGCUGAAGCCCAGCGUCAAGCCGAAUGGAGGGCCGAAGCUACCCGCGCCUUGUCGUCACAACAAGAGCCUUCUCCUCCUACGCCCUCCAAGCCUCCCAAAAAAGCCAUUAUCGGGCCUCAACUUCCUCGUUGAUUUGAAAAGGUUCGUUGCUCAUUCUCACUCUUUUUUUUCAUGGCUCAUCUGAGUUUUCAUCGCAGGUCGUCUCGUCCAACUGGAGGUAGAAUUUGUUAUCAGAGAGCAACAGCGAAACAGAGUGGUUGUCUUACCAUCUUAAAGUUCCCCGGCACCGAGAAGCAGCGUUCCUCUAGAGCAAAGGAUGUAACUGCUUGCUUGCUCCACAGGCUGAGAUAAAAUAACCACGAUCUGUGCGGAAAAUUCUUUCACCAGAUAAAUCUUCAAUCAUUCAUCCAUUCGCAUUUAAUCGCUUUUGUUCAAUUGCUUUUGUUCGCACCAACAGAGAACUGCCACAAGGACCAUACCAAGAAGGAAACUACAAGAUUGCACCAACCUCGAGGCUAUAGAGUCGUAGCCAUGUCUUGGAACGCAGUAUCACUCAAGAGGGCCCAUGUAAAAUUUGUCACUCGGUCUUAAAGGAGCACCAGGUUUUAGAGUUGCAGCAAAAGACUUUUCCCUGGCUUUUAAAAGCUGUAGUCUCGAAGUUGCGAGCUGCAAAAACGCGAUCAAAAGAAUCUAAAUACAUCCAUACCUGGCAGAGUGCGUUUUGAUUGUCUUAAUAGCCAUCGUCCACACUGCAAGGAAACGCUUCUCUCUGCUGCUUCCUUUGCCUCAUUCCCUCCUCCUCCUCAAGGAGCUCAGCGUCUCAGAGUUCAGAGGUAUGGCUCUACAGACGACAGCAGCACUCCAGAAGUCCGAAAUUAACGUCGAAGAGCUUUGCCUGGUUGCUCCUGCUCAAGCCACUGACGAUCAGCCGCUCUACCUCUCCAAUUACGAUCAGCAAGUCCUGUUUAACCUCGAGUCUGUGUACUUCUAUCCCCCGUCACCGCACAGGAGCGAUGAGAAUGUUGUCGACGUGCUACGAGCCGCACUGAGCAAACUUCU